rnacentral:rRNA from 1 species
UUCCUACGGGAGGCUGCAGUGGGGAAUAUUGGACAAUGGGGGCAACCCUGAUCCAGCAAUGCCGCGUGAGUGAUGAAGGCCUUCGGGUUGUAAAGCUCUUUUGCCAGGGACGAUGAUGACGGUACCUGGAGAAUAAGCCCCGGCUAACUUCGUGCCAGCAGCCGCGGUAAUACGAAGGGGGCAAGCGUUGUUCGGAAUUACUGGGCGUAAAGGGCGCGUAGGCGGCUUAUCAAGUCAGGCGUGAAAUUCUCGGGCUCAACCUGGGGGCUUGGCUUGAUACGGAUGGGCUUGAAUGCGGGAGGGGAUAGUGGAAUUCCCGGUGUAGAGGUGAAAUUCGUAGAUAUUGGGAAGAACACCGGUGGCGAAGGCGGCUAUCUGGCCCGUAAUUGACGCUGAGGCGCGAAAGCGUGGGGAGCAAACAGGAUUAGAUACCCCAGUAGUCA